CUUGUAUAUGUUUAUACCUUUCAUCCUGUAAUGUUGUUACCAUCCUUCAUGGAUGUUAAAGUAGGCUGGAGGAAAAAAAGUGUUUUCUCUGUCCCGAGUAAAACUUUCUCAGUCUUUCUUUCUAGAAGAAAUUUCUGUCAUCGUGCCUAGUUUUUCUUUAUUUCCUCACGCUUUUGCUAAAGAUCUGUCUUGGUCCAAAGUCUUAAGUUUUUUUUAGUUUGGUAAUGGUUCUUAUUGGAGAGUAUGGAGUUUGCUGAGUCACUGAUUAACGAGCUUUGCUAAAAAACAAGUCUGCUCACUUGGGAUGAGGUAAGUCUGGAAUUAAUUGAUGAUGAGGAAGCCACAGUCUCGGCAGCAAAUCUUAGAUUGGUGGGUAGGAUUAUCUCCUCUAAACAGUUUUCUUUUGCUCAUGUUCGUAAUAUUUUGCUUCAGCUAUGGCAGUUAGCUUUUGCAUUUGAAAUUAAGCCUCUCCCCUCCAUCAAAAAUACUUUUCUGUUCAAGUUCGCCCAUGAGAGAGAUAAGAAGCGAGUUUUAGAAGGUGUGCCAUGGUCCAUUAGCAAUCAUCUCCUUAUUCUUAAAAAUUGGUUGCCAGAUCUGAAAAUUGAAGAAAUAGAUUUUACUAGUUGUCCCUUUUGGAUUCAGGUGCAUGGCUUGUCUUUGAAUCAGAUGACAAGACAAAAUGCAAAGCAGAUUGCUUCUAUCUUUGGGGGAUUAUUAGAAUCUGAUUUUGCUGAAGAUUGUGAUGUGUCGAUUGGGGCCUGCUUGCGCAUCAAAGUGAACAUUGAUGUCACAAAACCUCUUAUUGAGAGUUUUACAAAUAAGAAAGCUAGCAAAAUGGAAAGGGUACAAUUCAGAUAUGAAAGGCUUCUGGACGUGUGUUACAUGUGUGGGUUGUUUGGGCACCAGAUUCAAUCUUGUCCUAAUGUUGCUAAGGUGACGAGUCCAGAAAAUCAAGGCCGACGACAGGAAUAUGGACCUUGGAUGCGAGCUGAAAUUUGGGUAUCCAAGUCGAGAAAGUCAGCCACUAAGGAAGCUCUUGCUUCACAUCCAGAUGAUCAAACCCAUCAGCCUAAUGAAGAAGUUGGUAUGGUGGCGCAUUUUCCCCAGCUGCCGCAAAUAGUAACUCAAACCCAGAUGGGGGUUGAUACUUCAGACACAAAUGUACCAUCAAUAGCAGGUAUGAGUCAGGGUGUUGAGCCCCAUAAUUGUGCCGCCAUUUCAUGUGACGCUAACAUACAGUCGCAAUACCAAUCUUGUCAUUAUGAACCAUCUACUACCCAACAGCUUUUAACCAUUACAAGAACUAAAACUAGAGAGCUUGUUCUGUCAUCUAUUAAUUCUCCUACCAAUCUUGACGAGCCUCCAUCUGACACACACCCUGACCCACACGUUGGCCAAGAGACAGGUUCUCUUAAGAGGAAACUUUACCCUUAUGCUUUUACAGUAGCCAAAAAGGUCAAAGAUCUCUCCAAUAGCCCACAGACAAUGAUGGACCCUAAACCUCGGUCACAGCUUUCUAUUUUUUCUGGACUAUCAUGGGCUGAAUUUGUGGGCAAACCAAUUCAUCUCCCAUCUGGUAAUCCCAUUUUAACUUUAAAUAGUUUACCGGGUUGUGUCCCUAACCCAACUGAUGUAGCAGAAAAUCCAAAUAACAAUAUCCUCUCAAGCCCACACCCUUUACAACCUCUGAAACCCAAACCCAAACUUAAAUCUCAGCUCAAAUUAAAACAAUUGGCUUGCCAUCGUCCUCUCACAUCUAAGGUAAAUUUGGGUAUUGAGGAGAGGAGAAUGAGAACAGAGGAGCAGGGACAGGAAGAUUUGGAGAAUGGGCUGGUAUGUACAAAUUCUGAGGCUCUGGUGGCUGGCCUAAAGCCACCACAGCAGCCAUGACAAUCCUAAGUUGGAAUUGUCAGGGGUCUGGGUCCCCCCUGACAAUGAGGACACUUAGAGAAUUAAUCUCUGCUAAUAAACCCGGGAUUGUGUUUUUGCCAGAAACAAAGAAGAAAAGUGCCUUUUUGGAAAGAUGGAAAGCUCGUUUUGGUUUUAACCAUUCAUUUUAUGUAGACCCAAUUGGGUUAUCUGGAGGUCUGGCUUUGUGGUGGAGAGAUCCUAUUUCUAUUCAGAUUUUGAAUGCCUCUAGCAGAUGGAUUGAUGCAAUGGUGCACUAUCAUUAUUCAUGGCAUGCGACGUUCCUAUAUGGAGAAUCAGAAGCAGGUAAUAAAAUUUCCUUUCUUAGGCAGCUGAAAAAUCUUCAUUUGAAUACGGAAGACCCUUGGUUGUUAAUUGGUGAUUUUAAUAUCUGCAACUCCAAUAGAGAUAAAUGGGGAAGAAGAACAAUAAAUUCCCAAAUUGCAUCUGCUUAUAAUGAUUUUCUGAUGGAAGAACAAUUGGGAGAGCUUAAGUUUAAAGGGUCGCGGUUCACCUGGUCUAACAAGCAUCAAGUUCCCUCUAGAGUAAUGGAGCGAAUUGAUAAAGUAGUUGUUUCUUUAGAAUGGAAAAUGCUUUUUCCUUACUGUCAAUUGUUUCAUGAUAAAUUGCUCGCCUCGGACCAUCGUCCACUUGUGUUGGUCCUGUUGUCCAAGGUCAGGAAACCUCGGAGAACUUUCAAUUUUGAUCUUCGUUGGACCACCUCUAAUAACUGUGACCGUGUAGUUGCUCAAGCUUGGCAGCAAGUGGACUCAACUGAACCAUUUCAAACUAAGUUGAUGGAAUGUAGGAGGAUGUUAAGUAGUUGGAGUGCUCAAGAAUUUGGGAAUGCUCGGUGGCGUAUUCAAGAGUUAUCAAAGCAGCUUGAUAUGCUUCAAUCAUACCCAAGGGGUAUUUCGUCCCCUGAAGAGAUUGAUUCCAUAAAAGCUGAGCUCAAAUUUCAAUGGCAAUUAGAAGAAAUCUACUGGUACCGGAAAUCUAGGAUAAAUUGGUUGCGGUAUGCAGAUAAGAACUCUCAUUUCUUCCACUCCUCUACAAUAAUUAGGAGGUGCAGGAAUCAAAUCAGCAAAAUUAAGGGGGCAGAUGGGAAUUGGAUCCAAAAUGAUUAUGCUAUCAAGCAAGAGGCUCUGAAUUUUUUCAAACAGCUUUACCAAGCUAGACAGGACAUCAUUUCCCCUAUGCAAUCUGCCUUUGUGCCUGAUCGAAGUAUCCAGGACAACAUUCUGGUUGCUCAUGAAGCUUUUCAUAGCCUCAAAUGUCGCAGGAGAGGUACACAUGGAGCUAUGGCUAUAAAAGUGGAUAUACAUAAAGCUUAUGAUAGUGUAAAUUGGAAUUUCUUGAUUUCCAUUAUGCAUAAAAUGGGUUUUCACACUAAAUGGAUCUCUUGGAUAACUCAAUGUAUACCUACUGUCGAGUAUGCUAUUUUGGUGAAUGGGGAGCAACCUAUUUUUUUCCAUCCUACAAGAGGGAUUCGGCAAGGGGAUCCCAUAUCACCCUAGUUAUUUCUGAUGCUUUAGCAAGAAUGCUUGAUUGGGCUCUUUCUAGAAAUCAAAUUGUGGGUUUCCAAAUUAAUCGCCAUUGCCCAAAGAUAACUCAUCUACUCUUUGCAGAUGACACCAUCUUGUUUGGAAGGGCCUCUUUCGAAGAAGCAAAUCAACUAAAAGAAUUUCUGGAUGAUUUUUGUAUAGUUUCUGGGCAGCGAAUUAACAAGCACAAAUCUGAUAUUACCUUCAACAGUAACACUCCUCACCAUAUCCAGUCCAGUAUUGCAAAUAUGUUGCAAAUUUCUAACUCUGGUUCUUUAUCCAAAUAUCUUGGCUUGCCUAUAUCCGGGGGACGGUCAAAAUACAAGGCGUUAUCUUUUCUGAAGGCAAGAGUGGUCAGUAACCUUCAAGGAUGGCAAACAAAAUAUUUAUCUAUGGCAGGAAGGGAAAUAUUAAUCAAGGCUGUUAUUCAAGCUAUUCCAUCCUAUGUGAUGUCAGUGUUCAAGCUACCUUCAGGCUUUAUUAAAGAGAUUCAGCAAUUGACAUCUAAAUUUUGGUGGCGACAAUCUAUAGACAAGGUAAAAAUUCACUGGAUGAGUUGGGAUAAGUUGUCCUGGAGUAAGUUUGCGGGGGGGAAUGGGUUUUAAAGACUUGAACUUGUUUAAUGUUGCUCUUUUAGCUAAACAAGCAUAGAGAGUGAUCAACAACCCUCAGGCUUUAUGGGUCCAAGUUUUGAAAGGCAUCUAUUAUCCACACUCUGAUUUUCUAAAUGCAAAGAAAUGUAAGUCUGGAUCGUGGGGGUGGCGCAGCCUUUUGGAAGGGAGAGAGGCUCUUAAAGCAGGGUUAAGAUGGCAGAUUUCUGGUCCUUCCUUUGUGAAUGUCUAGAGUGAUCCGUGGAUUCCCACAUUACCUGCUUUUAAAGUUUCAAGUUUGUAGAAAGAGAUGAUUCUCCU
rnacentral:misc_RNA from 1 species